rnacentral:lncRNA from 1 species
AUGUGGUUGCAUCACGUGAAAGGGGAGUCGGGCCCAGCGGCGGCGGCGGCAGCAACAGCACGCCCGAGCGAGACAGAGACCCAGACAGAUUCUGGACGCUGGGCUCGUCGGGAGGAGCGACGGCGGACCGACCGGGCUGGCGGGGCGGAAGCCGCACAGGACGAGGCCACCGCUCCGGAGCUCCCUGGAGAGGGCAGGAGGAAGAUGUCUUCCGUCGCUCCCAUUGCCCGGGGUGUUUGUUUGUUUGUUUGUUUUAAAGACGAUGUCGGGGAGGAGGGAGAGGAGAGGAGAGGACGGUCUCCUUGGAGUCAGCAGAGGCGAGUUGCCCAGAGGUGUGGUGGGAAGUGGAUGGGGUCGGAGGGAGGUCGAGCGGAGGUGGAAAGCAUAUGUGUGUGUGUGUGUGUGUGUGAGAGCGAGAGCGAGCUAGGGGGCUUUUGCUUUGUGUUCUUUUGCCCGGAGGGACCUCCCCUGACUCCCCUACCCAUCCACCCACCCACCCCUGUGAGCAUGUUGUUGUCUACAGUCUGCCUGCCUGUCUGUCAGCCAGGAAGAUGUAGAGGCGAAGCGGCGGUGACUGGAAUGAAGCUUUGUGUCGGGGAGGCGAAAGGGGUUUGCAGCAAAACUGCCCGCCUUUCCUCUUCUCCUCACCAUCUAAGGAAUUUUCUUAGAGACUGGAGCAUUACUAAGAUGCAACCUGGUGGUUGGUACCCAUCAAAUUCAUAAAUGGAUGGAGGGGGGGGAACGGUUUGUAUUUCUCCUGAAAACGAUGCACCUGCUUUACCUGACCUGCCAGUUUGGGGUUAUGUUUCGACCUAGGCAUGCUGUGUCUUCACUUUUACAAACAAGGACAAACCUCUGUGAUUAAGGCAUAGGGGUCUGUAAAGCUGGAACUUCAGAAUGUGGAAGAAAGAACAAAUAACGGUCUUUUGGAGUGAGUACAUUUUGUUGCUAGUAUAGCUAACUACUGAGAAUGUGAAUCAUUCUCAACUCUAACCUUUUAUCUGAUUUGAGGUAGAAAGGAAGUCUAUCUGGGUUUAGUGGCUUACUUGGGAGGGUAAUUUUUACUAUGGUUAACUGCCCAGAGUAGUGUAUGUAACUAAAUUGGGCAGUAUACAAAUUACUAAGGAAAUAAAUAAACAAACAGUCAGUCUGACUAGCA